rnacentral:rRNA from 1 species
UACGUAGGGGGCUAGCGUUGUUCGGAAUCAUUGGGCGUAAAGAGCGUGUAGGCGGUCCGGUAAGUCCGCUGUGAAAGUCGGGGGCUCAACCCUCGAAUGCCGGUGGAUACUGUCGGGCUAGAGUGCGGAAGAGGCGAGUGGAAUUCCUGGUGUAGCGGUGAAAUGCGCAGAUAUCAGGAGGAACACCUAUUGCGAAGGCAGCUCGCUGGGACGUAACUGACGCUGAGGAGCGAAAGCGUGGGGAGCAAACAGG